GUGGGUGUGGUGGAGUGGUUAUUGAGCAUAACUAGAAAUCAUGUGGGCUAAGCCCGCGCAGGUUCGAACCCUGCCGCUCACG
rfam:Ipomoea nil DNA, scaffold: scaffold2283, cultivar: Tokyo-kokei standard.